GAGUUUGAUCGUGGCUCAGAUUGAACGCUGGCGGCAUGCCUUACACAUGCAAGUCGAACGGCAGCACGGGAGCUUGCUCCUGGUGGCGAGUGGCGAACGGGUGAGUAAUGCAUCGGAACGUAUCCUGGAGUGGGGGGAUAACGUAGCGAAAGUUACGCUAAUACCGCAUAUUCUGUGAGCAGGAAAGCGGGGGACCUUCGGGCCUCGCGCUCUUGGAGCGGCCGAUGUCGGAUUAGCUAGUUGGUGAGGUAAAGGCUCACCAAGGCGACGAUCCGUAGCAGGUCUGAGAGGAUGAUCUGCCACACUGGAACUGAGACACGGUCCAGACUCCUACGGGAGGCAGCAGUGGGAAUUUUGGACAAUGGGGGCAACCCUGAUCCAGCCAUGCCGCGUGAGUGAAGAAGGCCUCGG
rnacentral:rRNA from 1 species